UGGGAAUUGUUACCCCAAGUAUCCCUUAUGC
rnacentral:piRNA from 1 species